GGUGGAGCAUGUGGUUUAAUUCGAAGCAACGCGCAGAACCUUACCAACCCUUGACAUCCCCGGACCGGCCUGGAGACAGGUCUUCCACUUCGGUGGCCGGGUGACAGGUGCUGCAUGGCUGUCGUCAGCUCGUGUCGUGAGAUGUUCGGUUAAGUCCGGCAACGAGCGCAACCCACGUCCCCAGUUGCCAGCAUUCAGUUGGGCACUCUGUGGAAACUGCCGGUGAUAAGCCGGAGGAAGGUGUGGAUGACGUCAAGUCCUCAUGGCCCUUACGGGUUGGGCUACACACGUGCUACAAUGGUGGUGACAGUGGGUUAAUCCCCAAAAGCCAUCUCAGUUCGGAUUGUCCUCUGCAACUCGAGGGCAUGAAGUUGGAAUCGCUAGUAAUCGCGGAACAGCACGCCGCGGUGAAUACGUUCCCGGGCCUUGUACACACCGCCCGUCACACCAUGG
rnacentral:rRNA from 1 species